UCUCACUCCCUGCCGAUGUUUGAUGCUGCUGCUCCUUUCCUACAUGAGGUUCCUAACGAGAUGCAGCCUCAGUUCGCUGUCGACGUAAUGGUCCAGUUCGGUCUACCUCGCUGGAUAUUUCACACCAAAGGGUUUGGAUGUCCAUGAGGUUCUUACAGAAACUGCGACAACAGCUAUCAUUGGCGUUUCAUGGAGCUCAUCGAUGCUGCAGGAUGCAGAGGACCACCUGCAGAUGUGUUUUUAGAUAAUGGCCUACAUGUGCUUAGCAGGAAGUAUGAACUAUGAGGUGGAAAGAAAAUCU